CCUACGUGGGCUGCAGUGGGGAAUAUUGGACAAUGGGCGAAAGCCUGAUCCAGCCAUGCCGCGUGUGUGAAGAAGGCCUUCGGGUUGUAAAGCACUUUCAGUGGGGAAGAAAGCCUUGGGGCUAAUACCCUCGAGGAAGGACAUCACCCACAGAAGAAGCACCGGCUAACUCCGUGCCAGCAGCCGCGGUAAUACGGAGGGUGCGAGCGUUAAUCGGAAUUACUGGGCGUAAAGCGCGCGUAGGCGGUCUGAUAAGCCGGUUGUGAAAGCCCCGGGCUCAACCUGGGAACGGCAUCCGGAACUGUCAGGCUAGAGUGCAGGAGAGGAAGGUAGAAUUCCCGGUGUAGCGGUGAAAUGCGUAGAGAUCGGGAGGAAUACCAGUGGCGAAGGCGGCCUUCUGGACUGACACUGACGCUGAGGUGCGAAAGCGUGGGUAGCAAACAGGAUUAGAUACCCUUGUAGUC
rnacentral:rRNA from 1 species